CCUACGGGGGGCUGCAGUGGGGAAUAUUGGACAAUGGGCGAAAGCCUGAUCCAGCCAUGCCGCGUGUGUGAAGAAGGCCUUUUGGUUGUAAAGCACUUUAAGCGAGGAGGAGGCUACCGAGAUUAAUACUCUUGGAUAGUGGACGUUACUCGCAGAAUAAGCACCGGCUAACUCUGUGCCAGCAGCCGCGGUAAUACAGAGGGUGCGAGCGUUAAUCGGAUAUACUGGGCGUAAAGCGUGCGUAGGCGGUUUUUUAAGUCGGAUGUGAAAUCCCUGAGCUUAACUUAGGAAUUGCAUUCGAUACUGGGAAGCUAGAGUAUGGGAGAGGAUGGUAGAAUUCCAGGUGUAGCGGUGAAAUGCGUAGAGAUCUGGAGGAAUACCGAUGGCGAAGGCAGCCAUCUGGCCUAAUACUGACGCUGAGGUACGAAAGCAUGGGGAGCAAACAGGAUUAGAUACCCCUGUAGUC
rnacentral:rRNA from 1 species